AUUUAGUUGAGAUGAUAAAUUAAUCUCUCAGUUAUACUCAGUUCAGUGAAAAUUAGUUGCUUAGAUCUUUUAAAUAUGAAAAAUUUCUGGGAUCAGAUUUUUAUAAAGGAAGGGAGAAGAAAAGAGUUGACUCAAUCUCUAUUACCUUUGAUGCUUGGACAAUGUGUACUCUUGUCCCAAAAAUGACUAUGAGAAUCAUUACUAACUUUGAAGAGGAAAUGUUAGAAACUUUGUGAGUAAUUGAUGUACCUUUCUUAAUUUUUUUUGGUAGAAACAGAGAGGAAAAAUUGAGCAUAAUCCCACAUGCAACAGAAUUUGGGGAACUGAUUUGAAAAGGUUCUGAGAAAAGACAGCCAAGCAAUAAUUUAGGUGAAGAUGGACCCGAGCAACUGUGAAAAUUGAGAUUUCAGCUAAGCUGCCACACAUAUGAAAUUUCACUUCUAAAUGUUGUCAGGAUAAAAAAUAAAAAAUAAAAAAAUUACACUCCUGUUAA